AACGCAUAUUGCGCUCUCUGGUACUCCGGAGAGCAUGCCUGUUUGAGGGUAAUUAACAGAAUCUUUAACCUUGGUUAAGGGAUAUGGGCAUUCCGCGAUUAGCGGUGGCCUGAAAUAUAUGGUCAGUCUCAUCGAGUUGAGAUGCGUAAUAAUUAUUAUUUCGCAAAAACAUUUGAUGGGCUACCAAGUUUUGAUUCAUUCAACUAUGUUGGGUGCGGUUAAAACAAAUAUUUUUGACAUUACCUCAAAUCAGGUAGGAAUACCCGCUGAACUUAA
rnacentral:misc_RNA from 1 species